UUUCCGUGAGAAAAUGUGUGAUUUGGGGGAUAAUGGGGUAUUUUUGAAGAGAUAAAGCAUGAUUUUGGGGUAAAUGGGGGAUUUUGCAAGAGAAAAGGCGUGUUGUUUGAGAUAAACGGGGGAUUUUUGUAGAGCGAAUGCAUGAUUUUGGGGUUAAAUGGGGGAUUUUCCAAGGGAAAAUUUGUGAUUUUCGGGUUAAAUGGGGGAUUUUGGAAGAGCAAAUGUGUGAGUUUUGGUUAAAUGGGGGGUUUUCCAGAGAAAAUGCAUGACUUUCUGUUCAAUGGAGGAUUUUUGUGGUGAAAAUGCGUGGUGUUCAGGUUAAAGCAGGGAUUUUCGAUGAGAAAAUACAUGAUUUGGGGGUUAAAUGUGUUUGUUUGUUUGUUUGUUUGUUUGUUUUAAGAGAAAACUUGUGAUUUUUGAUGAAUUAUGUAUUUUUGAAGUGAAAAUGCGUGAUUUUCAGGUUAGAUCAGGGAUUCUUGAAGAGAAAAUGCAUCAUUGUCGGGUUACAUGGGGGAUUUCCAAAGAGAAAUCGCCUUUUUUUUUUUUUUUUUUCUGGUUAAAUGGGGGAUUUUUGAAGAGAAAAUGAGUGAUUUUCAGUUACAUGGGAUUUUGAAGAGAAAAUGCGUGAUUUGCAG
ensembl:lncRNA